rnacentral:rRNA from 1 species
GAAGAGGUCACACCCGUUCCCAUACCGAACACGGAAGUUAAGCUCUUCAGCGCCGAUGGUAGUUGGGGGUCUCCCCCUGUGAGAGUAGGACGUCGCUGGGC